GAUGAAGAACGCAGCGAAAUGCGAUACGUAAUGUGAAUUGCAGAAUUCAGUGAAUCAUCGAGUCUUUGAACGCACAUUGCGCCCCCUGGUAUUCCGGGGGGCAUGCCUGUCCGAGCGUCAUUGCUGCCCUCAAGCACGGCUUGUGUGUUGGGCCUCCGUCCUCCUCCCGGGGGACGGGCCCGAAAGGCAGCGGCGGCACCGCGUCCGGUCCUCGAGCGUAUGGGGCUUCGUCACCCGCUCUUGUAGGCCCGGCCGGCGCUUGCCGACACAUCAAUCUUUUUUCCAGGUUGAACUCGGAUCAGGUAGGGAUACACGCUGAACUUAAGCAUAUCAAUAAGCGGAGGA
rnacentral:misc_RNA from 1 species